rnacentral:rRNA from 1 species
GACGGAGGGUGCUAGCGUUGUUCGGAAUUACUGGGCGUAAAGGGCGCGUAGGCGGCUGCUCAAGUCGGGUGUGAAAGCCCGGGGCUCAACCCCGGAACGGCACCCGAGACUGGGCGGCUCGAGACCGGGAGAGGUGGGUGGAAUACCCAGUGUAGAGGUGAAAUUCGUAGAUAUUGGGUGGAACACCGGUGGCGAAAGCGGCUCCACUGGCCCGGUUCUGACGCUGAGGCGCGAAAGCGUGGGGAGCAAACAGG